rnacentral:rRNA from 1 species
UACAGAGGGUGCAAGCGUUAAUCGGAAUUACUGGGCGUAAAGCGUGCGUAGACGGUUAUUUAAGUCAGGUGUGAAAGCCCCGGGCUCAACCUGGGAAUUGCAUUUGAGACUGAAUAGCUAGGGUGCGGAAGAGGGAAGCGGAAUUUCCGGUGUAGCGGUGAAAUGCGUAGAUAUCGGAAGGAACACCAGUGGCGAAAGCGGCUUCCUGGUCCAGCACCGACGUUCAGGCACGAAAGCGUAGGGAGCAAACAGG